UAUUGCGUCGUUGGGAAAUGGUUAUGACUGUGAACGAACUGAUUUAUCGUUGAGUGAAAGCAUCAGUAUAUCGAGUUGUUGUCGUGUCGAGUUAUCGUUUAUGUGGUGUAACAGUUUAGUGUAUAUUUUAAUGACCUUCGUUUUUUAAUCAUUUUUUAUUAAAUUACAUGUUUUUAUAGUUGAUUCGUAUUCAGUAGCUUAUAACAGACUACAACAGUCAGGCCCCGCGAUUGGCCGUUAAAGCAGCGUUCCGCACCAAACCACCCUUAACACAAACGCGCAAUAGCCAGACGAACCCUGUAAGUUACACGAGUCCAUUUAAAAGUAACAGCGAUUUUGUUGCUUUCAGACACUAAAGCGAUAAACUUUAAGUCGUACAUGCUGUAUGACGGCAUCCAUAUUUUUGGAACUGUCUGUAACAAAACAACCCGCAUUACUCUUGAACUUGCAAUCUCUGAGUAGCCGCCUGGGGUGAUAUGUACGGAACACAACCGCAACAGUCGUUGAAACAAAAUAAUGACGGUUCUAUUCGCAAUGAAAAGUUCGCAUCUGCGAUUUCUAAAUGCUCAAGUUUAUUGCGCAAAAGAAUGACAGAAAUCGGAGCACCCGGAAUGGUCGUGGGUGUUUCCGUCAAUGGAAAAACUGUGUGGAGUCAAGGAUUCGGAUACGCUGACGUUGAAAAUGAUGUCGAAUGUCACCCGGGAACAGUGAUGAGAGUGGGGAGCAUCAGUAAAUGUUUCACUUCAGU